rnacentral:rRNA from 1 species
UACGUAGGGGGCAAGCGUUGUCCGGAUUUAUUGGGCGUAAAGAGCUCGUAGGCGGUUUGUCGCGUCUAUCGUGAAAGUCCGAGGCUCAACUUCGGAUCUGCGGUGGGUACGGGCAGACUAGAGUGAUGUAGGGGAGACUGGAAUUCCUGGUGUAGCGGUGAAAUGCGCAGAUAUCAGGAGGAACACCGAUGGCGAAGGCAGGUCUCUGGGCAUUAACUGACGCUGAGGAGCGAAAGCAUGGGGAGCGAACAGGAUUAGAAACCCCAGUAGUCC